UACGGAGGGUGCAAGCGUUAUCCGGAUUCACUGGGUUUAAAGGGUGCGUAGGUGGGUUUGUAAGUCAGUGGUGAAAUCUCCAAGCUUAACUUGGAACUGCCGUUGAUACUAUAAAUCUUGAAUGUUGUGGAGGUGAGCGGAAUAUGUCAUGUAGCGGUGAAAUGCUUAGAUAUGACAUAGAACACCAAAUUGCGAAGGCAGCUCACUACACAAAGAUUGACACUGAGGCACGAAAAGCGUGGGGAUCAAAC
rnacentral:rRNA from 1 species